GCCGACAGAGCGAGCCCUCAGCCGGCCGCGCCGGGCUCUCCCCGCCGCCGCACUGCUCUGGGGAAACAUCCUUUUGCUUACAGCCAAACCUCGGAGGCUCCGCUAUUAUGCUUCAAAGGCAAAAGCUGUCGUAUCACCCGAAAACAAGUUGUCAGUUUCUGACCAAAAUGGAAGUUUUUACUCGGUGAGAAGGAUGAAGUUGGUUCUUUUGAAGCGGUUCGAGGCACGCCCUGCUGCAAAGGGGACUUCACGGGAGUCGGAAACACAGGCACACCGGUCUGAAACACUUACUGUACAAUAGCAGGAAUGUAGGAAGCCUUGAAAAUGAAUCUGCUCUAAGCAAGUGUCAAAGCUUUCAGAGGAAAACAAACUGAACUUAUCCCCGUAUCUUUAUGCAUAUUUUCCCCCCAGUCCUCCUUUCCUCUCCCCCCCACCCCCAGCCUGGUUAAGAGCCCAGGCAGCAACUUGGGAUCAGGAACGGACUAAUGUUACAGAAAAGUGAGUUACAAAAGGGGGGACAGCAGACUUGCUUUAAAAAGCCUCCUCUAUCAUUACAGCCAGAGACAUUUUGAAGGCACACAAAGCACAUGGGUCACUUCUCAGUUUGUACUCAACAGUCUAAUUGCUCAUGCAAUGCCAUUUCAAAAUCAGCCAGCUUCUCUGCAGGCAUCACCACUGGUCAGAAAGUAUUUUAUUCCUUCCCUUUCCCCACUUUUCCAUGUGUUCUCCCAUUUCCUCCUUUCCUUUUGAAAAGUACGUGGGGGAACACACAGCCCUCUUCAUACCUCCCCUGGUCUUCAGGCAGUAAAACCCACAAGUGGAGAGAGACCAAGGUGUGAGUCUUGCUCACUGAGAUCAGGUAGUCCUCGCUGAAUCUCAGCUACAACCAGCCCGGGCCUCCUGCAGGAGGAGGGAAGGCUGCCCUCCCAAUGGCUCCCUCCCUGCUCUCUGGGACAGCAAACCCCAUCUAGGAGCUACUACAAACACAAAUAGAUAAUGUACAGCUGCAUUAUUUUCAGUCUCAAUGGACUGCAUCAUCAGAAUACUCACCCAAAUAAAGCAUUCAUACUUACUUUAUUCAGAGCAAGAUUGCUUAAAGCAGAAAAGGGUCCAGCAGCAAAUGUUUCUUAGGCUCCUCCUCUGACCAGUGUCUAAUGCUUUACUGUCAAAUGUGUUUUAAAUGCACAUUAGAAGUGAUGACUGCAAGGAACGCAAGAGCCCAGGUACUGGGGAAAUCACAUUUCUGAACCCUGCCCCUUUGCACUGAGGACAACCAGAACCGUGCUGGUCCUGGUUGUCCUCAGUGGAAAGGGGCAGUGUUACAGAAAUGCAGAGCAAUUCUCCUGGGCAGAUCAUUACACUUACCCAAUGCCAUGUGCUUCAGCUCUUGGAGGGUUUGUAAAACUAAUUCCCAUUUCUUGGUGACACUUACCUCCAUAAAUAUCUUUGCUCUGGGGCUAACCCUGUGGACACUUGCAGUUGUGUACAGUUAAUUUUAGUGCAAGUACCUCCACUGCCUCCAAGAGAAAUGCAAAGCAUUGGUACAACAAUACUUGCCUACCUCCUGGGGCCAUUGUCAGGCAUAAUGAAUUCAGCCUGGUGAUACAGUUGGAAAUCUUAUCUAUGGAAUUUGUACCUACAUUUUUCCUAUUUAAAUGUAUACAGCUGUUACUGAGAUAUUAAUUUAUGCCUAUAUUUUAAAAAUAAAACCCUUCAUAUUCAAGGAAGCAUCACUCAUAAUAAUUUUCCUUUGAUCAUUUUGUUUUAAACCCUUUUUUAAUUUGUACUCAGCUUGGCAAGGAGAUUCCACUAAAAUUGAUAAAUGCUUUCAGUCCCACCAAACUCAGCUGUGGGACACUUUGAACAACGAUGCUAUUCCAGGUGUAGCUUGUACACCCUUUGCAGCAGGAACAAUUAUGUAGGGCCUGUGCAUGCUCACAGGCACCACCCACAGGUCCCUUGUUUUAGUUACUCUUGAAAUGAGCAAUAAGAGAACACUAAGGCAUCCCUGCCUUACGAACAAGUGCUUUCUAACAUGAUUUCAUUAGGCUGCUAGUUGAUAUGUUUUACUGGUAUAAAUCAUUUAAGCAACAAAAUUACCAUUGUGAUCAACAGUUUUACAGUAAAUGAUCAAUACUUCGUGUAGUAUAAGAUCAGAGAAUUAACAUCAAUCCGUGCACAGAAACAAUGUAU